rnacentral:tRNA from 1 species
ACCCGGGUGGUGGAACUGGUAGACACGCAGGACUUAAAAUCCUGUGGCCAGUAAUGGCUGUACGGGUUCAACUCCCGUCCCGGGUACAA